GAGGAAUGCAUGGGUAACCUACCCUCGAGUGGGAAUAACUAGCCAAAGGUUAGCUAAUACCGCAUACGUUUCCGGAAACUUCGGUUUCGGAAAGAAAGCAAUACCGUGGGUAUUGCGCUCCUGGAUGGGCUCAUGUCCUAUCAGCUUGUUGGUGAGGUAACGGCUCACCCAAGGCUUCGACGGGUAGCUGGUCUGAGAGGACGAUCAGCCACACUGGCACUGCGACACGGGCCAGACUCCUACGGGAGGCAGCAGUAAGGAAUAUUGCGCAAUGGACGAAAGUCUGACGCAGCGACGCCGCGUGGGGGAUGAAGGUCUUCGGAUUGUAAACCCCUUUCGGGAGGGAAGAUGGAGUGGGUAACCACUUGGACGGUACCUCCAGAAGCAGCCACGGCUAACUUCGUG
rnacentral:rRNA from 1 species